AACGAACGCUGGCGGCAGGCCUAACCCAUGCAAGUCGAACGAGAACUCCGGGCCUAGUGGCGGACGGGUGAGUACAGCGUGGGAACCUGCCCUUUGGUUCCGAAUAGCCACGUGAAACGGGGCGUAAUACCGGCUGAUUUAUUCGGGGGAAAGAUUUCUCGGCUCAGGAUCGGCCCGCGUUGGUUUGGGUGGUUGGUAGUGUAAUUGCCUACCAUGGCGACGUUCCAUAGCUGGUUUGAGAGGAUGAUCUGCCACACUGGGACUGAGACACGGCCCAGACUCCUACGGGAGGCAGCAGUGGGGAAUCUUAGACAAUGGGGGAAAACCUGAUCUAGCCAUGCCGCGUGAGCGAUGAAGGCCUUAGGGUAGUAAAGCUCUUUCAGCUGGGAAGAUAAUGACGGUACCAGCAGAAGAAGCCCCGGCUAACUCCGUG
rnacentral:rRNA from 1 species